CAGGAGUGCCCACCUGAUCAGGCGGUGAGGUCUCUCUCCUAACAGUAACUUUUAAAAGUAUUAAGUUUCUUGGGAAAAUUCUAACCGAGAAAUAAAAGGCUUUUAUGAUUAAAAAAACAAAACCAAAAACAAAAGAAAAAAAUGAAAAAAAAAUAUUCAACCCAAAACAAAACAUAAUGUCUUAUAAAUUGAACAGAUAUCAGAUAUAUGGAAAGAUUCCCACAUGUUCAUGAAUCAGUGAGAUUUAAACAGUAAAAAUUCUAGACCAUCCUGUAGUGAUUUUUUUAAAUUUUUUUCUUCGCAGUCUUCUGCCAUGUUCCCUUGACCUCACCCAUAAAGCCCCACCAACGUCACUUCCUAAACAUUAACUGAAGAAGGCAACACCAAUGAACAUGGAAAACUAAAUGGGACCUGAAACCUAGACAAAGAAAUAUAGGCAAUUGCAUGGCAAACAUGAAGAAACAGAAAGGCUAUAUAUAUUUAUAUACCAAGCCACCAGUAUAUUCUGAUCCAGCACCACCAAGAAAGAAAUGCUUAUUUGGCAAAAAUCUUACAAGCAUUUAUGUCGACAGAAAGCUGCCUGCUCUAAUACUUGAUAUGUUAUCCAUAAUUGCAGAGAAAGGACAAGAAUCAGAUCACAUAUUCAAAAUUCUACCUGAAAAUUCACACUGGUGCCUCAGAGAGAGGAUUGACAGUGAACAACUCAUUGAAUGGAAUGAAGAAUGCGCGCUUGUAAUAGCAUCUGUCUUGAAGGUAAGGAAGGUUUUCACGUCACCAACAUUAAGCAUCCCUCUAGAGAUGCAUAUGUGCUUUCUGUCCUUAAGAUUACAUGAUGAUGACUGUUUCCUAGAACUAUGGACACGUGACCUCUUGAUAAGAGGCAUGGCAGGUAAAAGUCUGACAAACCCAAAGAUUCAUCAUAAAGACACAGGU
rnacentral:lncRNA from 1 species